AGCUGAACAAGAGACAGCAUGUCUUGUGGGUGAUUCUGUGCUGCAUCUGUGCUUAUUAACUGCGCAGUGUUUAUUUACUAGUUGCAGAAGAGAGAACAUCUGUGCGUGUACUGCAAUCUUCUGUCAUUGAAUAAAAUGAGAUUCUCAGGUCAUCUCCUGACUCCAAGAGCUAGACUGCAAGAAGACUCCUCAGUAUGGGAAGGCACGUGAGAACGUGGGAAAAGGUGUUGGUGCUGAGUCGGUUUAGAAACUGCGAAUGGAAGUGGGUUGGCAGAGCAAAACCCUGCAUGAGGUAGUUUCUUCUCUUUCCUGCCCAGAUCUUGACUAACUCUUACCCACCAGGAAAGAAGAGAGAUUCUGGUGAUACUAUGUCUGUGUGAGAAAACAUCCUUGGACUUGGGGAAGAAUGAAUUAAUAUUGUUCUGAUGCCAUGAUUCCUGUUCUGGAUAUUUAAUUUCUGCUCCUGAAAUGAUACAUAGUCAAAGGGGUCUGAUGCCUGAAAUGGACUAUUAAAAAAAUAUCAGAAUGAAAUGAAAAGCAAUAUUUUUGUUAGAAGUGUUCUCAUGUCUCUGUGUGAAGAUGUAUGUGAGCGUGUACGUGAAUGCAUGCACUAUAUUUAAUGUAUUUUAAGCUUGCCAGUGUUUAAAUCUUCAGAUGAGAAAUUGGAACUGUUUACUGAAGCAGAAGGCUCUCUGCCAGCUUCUUUUUGGAAGUUAAGAAAGUGAAUUGUCUGCUGAAUGCUGGCUUUUGUAGCUUUUCCCCGCAGAUGCAAUAAUCUCUGAUCUUGCCAGGGACUGUGGCUGCCAAAGAGCUCAUGGGACUGACAGGUAGGAACAUGCCUAACUCCCACAUUGCUCAUCCUUGAACAGCUCAUCCUGAGACUGGAACUGGGAACAUUGCAGGAGGCCUCGCUUGAAGCUGCAGAAGAAAACUGGCAGUAAAAUUGUCAAGCCUGCCAAUCUCUUUGGGGCUUACCAAGUGAUGGAGAGAAGCAAUUCACAAAGACAGUGGAAAACAAAAAGGAGCCUUCCUUGGCUUACCAAAAGGAAAAGAAGAAGAAAAGUGGAAAAAAAAAACCCCAAACCAAACCCACCUAUUUUGAUGAAGGUAGCACACACUGAAUGAGAACAAAACCACAUUUGGAUCAGUGGCGCACGUUGGAUCAUUUACCUCUGCUGUUCCUGAGUUAGUUAUCAAGGUCCCCAUCCUUCUGGCGAAGAAUGAGUAGAUAAAAUAAUUUUUUUUCUCACAUGUGGGAAAAAGUGUUCCUGUUGCUGUCCUGAGGAAGGACCACUUGCUCAGAACUUCUCCAUCCUCCUGUUGUCAGGGAUCAAGCCAGGGGCACACAGAAAGAUGGAGCUGUACUGCCAUACAUCUUAGAAAUUAUUUUACUUGAUAAAUGUGAAAUUACAUCUAAUUACAAAGUUAAUGUAAGUGAAUGUAAUCAGAUAAUUACAAUGGGUAAUGACAUGAUAUUUACAACUUAUAAUGAUCUUGUUAUUAUACUGUAUAUAAUGACAUUAUCAAAAUUCUUUCUGGAGUUUUCUCCCUUGUUAAUUGGCCUUUUCACAUAAAACAAAUUAUUUGAAAUGUUUUAUAAUUUUCUGUCUGAAUC